rnacentral:lncRNA from 1 species
CCUCAUUUGUGGGUAGAUGUCAAGGCUUACAUCAUUAGUUCCUCCUUUGACACAGUAAAUUCUAACUGGAAUAGUCAUGGCACUAUUUAAAUCAUAUGUAUAUUAGCAGAAGGGUGGUAACAUACACUAAAAUAUGGUAAUUCGUCUCAGGUUUCAGUAUAUUGGCCCUUUUUACCUAGCUUCUUUCCCCUUUCACCUAUACUCCUGUCUUGGCUGGGUGUAGAAAUGCUACUCUUCGAGGACUAUUAACUCCCUGGCUUCACAUAAAUGAGGAGUAAUUUUUUCCCCCUGGAAUAUCUGGGAAAUUAGAAAUGCCAUUUCUCCAGCUAGAAGUCCAUAAGUCAACUCAUUACUGUGAAAGGUAAAAAUGUUUUUGUUUUGUAUAGAUAUAAUGGUGGGUACCAUGUGCAAAAUUCUUCCAAAAUAAUUUCAGUAGAUUAUUAUUGAGUUUAACUCAGUAAACACUUCCUGCUCUUCUCAGAAGCACACUUGUGAUAAUCAUUUUCAUAAGCUUGAAAAAUAACUAUUUUAAGAUGACAGUUUUAAUGUAUUUGCUUACACUCUAGUAGUUCCCCAGGGCUGAGGACAUGUUGAAUAUUUUAAAACAUUUUAGCUCUCUAACCUGUAAACAAAUUUUAAAAAUAUUCAAUUCCCUAGUGAGACAUUUCAUUGUGACAUUUCAUGAACCUCUGUUUUCUCCUCAGGGCCAACAGCAUUUAAUUGGCUGGUGUUAUGUAAUGUAUACUACGGGGAAAUCACUAGGAAGAGAAGAAAUAGACAAGAAGAUAUUCCCUGUGAUGAGAAUUCAAAGCCAACUUUCAGAGAGACAAUCUCUUUAA